CUCUCUCGUGAACCCCACCCAACCCCUCGUGCCCUCCUCUCUCUCUCUCUCGAACCCUAGCGCUCCACUCCUCCCUGGCCGCCGCCACCUCCGGCGCCCUCUGUCCGGCGAGAUCCAUAUGGAUCGAUCCCCUCCAACCCAUGACUCCACGACUCCUCCUCCUCCUCUCUGGAUCGAUCACCCCCAACCCAUGACUCCUCCUCUCUGGAUCGAUCCGCAACCGCUUCCAACCCAGCCGCCGCCGCAAACCUCCCCCAAUCCCGGCCUCCUCCACGCCGAUUCGAGCGACACUCCCCACUUCCAGACCAAACUCUAGCCUGAGACCCCUUCCUCCUCGAUGGCCAACCCCUCCAUGGCGGCCGGCGGCGGGGUGCCGUUGGCGGAGGGGGUCCGCGCCGUCAGGGCCCAGAUCCGCAACCGCUUCCGCGUGGCGCCCGUCGACCGCGUGGCUGUGGCGUUGGCGGCGGCGAGCCAGUCCCUGAGAAACCGCGAGAUCCUCGACGCUGUGGGCACCACCGCGGCGGCGCUAAGCACCACCGAUGCCGAUGGGGUCCAACAAGGCGGACAAGCCGCUGCGGCGGAUCGGCGCGUUGUUCGAGCAGCUUGCGGCCGUCGCCAAGCAGCAGCAGCAGACCGCGAUGGCGGCGGGGGACUUCUCGCGCGCCUGCUCCAACGUCUCCGUCCUCUUCUGCUACCUCGGCAUCGCCUUCAAGUUUGCGGAGAUGGACUACGUAGCCAAGGCCAUCGGGGGAGCUCUGGUGGCAGCAUAAGGAGCAGAGCAGCAGCACUGGCACGGGCUUAUAUAUUGUUGGCUUGUAGCAUAAAUUGUUGGCACGACAGCAUAAAUCGUUCAGCGUCUUGACGCACUAAUGCAAUCGUACUGACAAUUGGUAGUAACCAAAAUCAUAUAAAGGCAGUCUGCUCUCCUUUAAAUUAUAUUUCAUAAACUAUAUUGAACCACUGCAGCUGCUAUAGAUUUGAGAUUCACAUCUUUUUUUACAUUGCCUGCUCUAGGAAGUUACUGUUGCGUAGUUAGUCUUUUUGCACUGCAUUUGUACAAUUGUAUAUUCUUGCCAUUACUAGGUGAUUCCUUAAAUUAUUCAGUUCGUUGUAGCAUACCAGUUUGAUGGAAUGCCUAAGGCCUAAGGAGAUAAACAUUGGUAUCCAUAAUAGAUCUACCUAAACCAACAGGCACAAAACAUGCAUAUCCCUUUAAUCUGCAUUAGUGCGUCUAAGUGGUUAGUGUAUUGUAAGCUCCAUCCAUGGAGCAGUGAAAUAAGCUGACGCUGUAUAACGUGCAGCUAGCUUGCUGUUUAGAAAUUUUCCCGUUUUUAAGUAUUACUUUUCUCUAUAUCUAUGAAUUGGAUUGUCGAUCUUUCCUGGAGUCGAUUUUGCGCUAGAGCUUCUAAAACUAACCAGUCCAGGGAAGAACUUCUUUCUUAUCUUAAUGUUUUGUAGAACCCCAUGAUUGACCAUAUGUAUUGCAUGCUAUCAUUCACGAUACAUGUUCUGUCUUUCCUAUUAUGUGUUCUGAGGGUUCAAUCUACAAGAAAACCCAUCAGACCUGUAUAUGUAUCUGAUUUAGAUCACUUAAUUUCAUACAUGGAUUGCUGAGGUUUUUUGAUCUUGCAGGUCGCGGCGACCACCAAGAAGACACCCAACUCCCGCACCCCGAACUACCCUACCCGAGCCUGCCGUCGCAGCUGCUGUGUCAAGUCCACAGCAUCACCAUGCAUGCUGACAAGGACAAUGACGAGGUCUACGCACAGAUGACUCUGCAACCAAUAAACUCUAAGUACUGUCGGAAACUGAGCUUGGUGAAGAUAUUCAGAACAUGCUGAACUGCGUUUUCUCUACGUGUGCUUUUAUCGGUUUGCAUGCUGCAUGUUUGAUGUUUGGCCUGAGCUGGGGACGAAAUGGUACUGAAUGCCUAAAAGUAAAGUUAACAGUGUUCAGUUUAAGUGUACAUUUCGAGAUCAGUGCCAGUGUUUAUAAACGCUCAAAAUCUGUACAGUAUUUCUUAGAUUAACAAGUGCUUACUGUAUAAUUUAGGAAAGUUUUAAUAAUACUACAGCAGAUGCUAAUUAAAUCAGGAAGUGAAGCACUACCAAACGUACCGUAUACAAUGUUCAGUUCAAGUUUAAUUUUCAGUUUAGUGCCAGAGUUUAUCAUCAACCCAAAAAAAAUAUCUGAUUUUCACAUUGACGAGUACUACUGCUUACUUCUCCCAUUCCUUACUUGAAGACUCUGUUUUGAACCGAGCCUUGCAGCAAGGAGGGAAUGGCUGCGUCUGUUUUGUGCUUGGACGCCUUCUCCUAGUUGUGCUAAAAUUGAGGUGCCUGUUUAAUUAACAAGCACCUUUCAUCCCCACUGUGACAGUAAUGCAUUGAGGUGCCUCUGGACUUUAGUGUAUUAGGUUGCCAGGAGUAGUAAAACUUAGUGUUGUAUUGAGGAUUGAGGGUGGCUGGGCUUAUAAGUUAAUCAUCAGCGUGAAUGCUUUGUUUGUCUGAUCCUCACAAGUUAAUGCUUCGCUCGUCUGGGUGUGUGAUAAUGCCAUUUGUCUUGUGCAAUCAGAUUAAAUUUCUGUUUGUUAUGGUAAUAUAAAAAAUAUUCGUGCUGUCAAAAUUUUCACAGUGCGUGCCUUUCAUUUCUUUAGUUUGAUUGUUUCCCUUGUAUUCAAUAUGCUUUUAGUGGCUGAUCCUUCCAUUUUUGUUGUGGCAUCUUUAUUUUCACAGGUGUUGUGUGUUCUAGAAGAUGGAAGAGGAAGAAAAUCUAUUUUUGUUGAACUAAAUUUUCUGUAUUAUGAUUUGUUGUAUGUAUUAUUUGAUAGUUUUGUAUAGAACAAGUGAUACUAUUUUGUAGGGUUUUAUGGCCUGUGAUGUAAACAUAUUUAGUGCUGAAAUAUGAAAUUAUUUG
rnacentral:rRNA from 1 species